rnacentral:rRNA from 1 species
GAUGAACGCUGACAGAAUGCUUAACACAUGCAAGUCGAUGGGGAAGUGGUGCUUGCACCGUGGCAACCAUGGCGGACGGGUGAGUAACGCGCAAGGGACUUACCUGCAGGACUGGGAUAACAGGGGGAAACUCCUGACAAGACCGGAUAAUGUCAUGGAGCUGCCUGGCUGUAUGAUGAAAGGAGACGCCUGCGGAGAGCCUUGCGUCCUAUUAGCUAGUUGGUGAGGUAAUGGCUCAACAAGGCGAAGAUAGGUAGCCGGCCUGAGAGGGUGGACGGCCACAAGGGCUCUGAGAUGCGGCCCUUACUCCUACGGGGGGCAGCAGUGGAGAAUAUUGGACAAUGGGGGCAACCCUGAUCCAGCAAUUCUGUGUGCAAGAAGAAGGUUUUCGGAUUGAAAAGUGCUUUCAGCAGGGAAGAAGUAAGUGACGGUACCUGCAGAAGAAGCGACGGCUAAAUACGUG